AUUUGAACAGAGGGCUUACGGCGACGGGAAGAUGAGGAAAGUGGCGAACGGGUGAGUAACGCGUGAGGAACCUGCCUUCCAGUGGGGGACAACAGUUGGAAACGACUGCUAAUACCGCAUAACAUAUUUGAGGGGCAUCCCUUGAAUAUCAAAGCUUUAUGUGCUGGAAGAUGGCCUCGCGUCUGAUUAGCUAGUUGUGGGGUAACGGCUCACCAAGGCGACGACCAGUAGCCGGUCUGAGAGGAUGAACGGCCACAUUGGGACUGAGAUACGGCCCAGACUCCUACGGGAGGCAGCAGUGGGGAAUAUUGGGCAAUGGGGGAAACCCUGACCCAGCAACGCCGCGUGAAGGAAGAAGGCUUUCGGGUUGUAAACUUCUUUUAGCAGGGACGAAGGACGUGACGGUACCUGCAGAAAAAGCAACGGCUAACUACGUG
rnacentral:rRNA from 1 species